AUGGCGCCUCAGAGCCUGGAUCUUGGCCUGAGCCUUGGCCUGGGGCUCGUUUCCCAGCCCACCCUGCCGAGCUUCUGGUACUCCGGCGGCAAUGUGGCGGCGGACCAAGAAGUGGGCCCGACUCCGACCGCGGCGGCGGUGGAGGAGAGGAGGUGCUCGCCCGGUAGCCCGGCUUCGAGCGGCAGCGGCAGCGGGCUGAAGCGUGGUGCCGAGAGGUCCGCCGGCAGCGGCGACGAGGACCAGGACGACGACGGCGGCAACGCGCGCAAGAAGCUCCGGCUGUCCAAGGACCAGGCCGCCGUCCUCGAGGAGUGCUUCAAGACGCACCACACCCUGACUCCGAAGCAGAAGCUGGCGCUGGCCAACAGCCUGGGGCUGCGGCCGCGGCAGGUGGAGGUGUGGUUCCAGAACCGCCGCGCCCGGACAAAGCUCAAGCAGACGGAGGUGGACUGCGAGUACAUGAAGCGCUGGUGCGAGCAGCUCGCCGAGCAGAACCGCCGCCUCGAGAAGGAGGUGGCCGAGCUCAGGGCGCUCAAGGCCGCACCGCCGGCGCAUAACGGCGCCUCGGCGGGGCCGCUCACCACCCUCACCAUGUGCCUCUCCUGCAAGCGCGUCGCGUCCACGUCCUCCGCCUCGGCCUGCACCGUGCCCAGCUUCUCCUCCAAUGCCGGCAUCGGCAUGCCAGUGCCAUCCCCGGUGGCCAUGCCCGAACACCGGCAGUUCUUCUGCGGGUUCCGAGACACCGGAGCAACGUACGGCAGCUCUGCCGGGCUCGCGAAGGUGGUCAAGGCGGCCAGAUAG
rnacentral:rRNA from 1 species